rnacentral:lncRNA from 1 species
AUUUACUAUAAAGAUAAAUUGAUAAUUUACUAGUCCAUAUUCAGACCACAUUGUGCACAAAUUCACUGGAGAAAUCAGUGAAGUUUUUUAUUCAUUUUAAAGAUUACAAUUUUGAAAGCCAGAAUAAUUCCAAAUCUAAUUAAGGAAAACUUAAUUAUUUUCUUGUUUAAAUUUUUGGUAAUCUGUAUGCAUUGUGGGAUACCCCUACCUAACUCUGCCCUCAAAUCAUUUUUCACAUUCCAAUUGUAUGUUGUUAGCUUUAGUACCAUUACAAUUUCAAAACCAUAAAUAAAUGAUUUUGUUUGCCUAAAUACAGAAUCUGAAAAGAUCACCCAUUGCAUUUAAAAACCAAGUAUGCUGAAAUUAAUGAUAAAAAUCACCUUCAUAGACAUUAAAAUUUUUUUCUACCUUUUAUAUUUUAAAUUUCACAAUAUUGCUUACGAUAUCAC